AUGGUUUUGCAUAAACAUGGAGAAAAGCUCUACACUGGACUAAGAGAAGUUGUUACUGAACAUCUCAUAAAUAAGUUGAUACUUUUUAUUAUAUUCAUUUGAAUAACAACUUUCUUCAAACACUAAAUCAAGCUUGGAAUGAUCAUCAAACAGCCAUGGUGAUGAUUAGAGACAUACUAAUGUAUAUGGACCGUGUAUAUGUACAACAGAAUAAUGUAGAAAAUGUCUACAAUUUGGGAUUAAUAAUUUUUCGAGAUCAAGUUGUACGGUAUGGGUGUAUUAGGGAUCAUCUUCGGCAAACUUUAUUGGAUAUGAUUGCCAGAGAGAGGAAAGGAGAAGUUGUAGACAGAGGAGCAAUAAGAAAUGCUUGCCAGAUGUUAAUGAUUUUAGGUCUUGAAGGAAGAUCAGUCUAUGAGGAAGAUUUUGAGGCUCCUUUUUUGGAAAUGUCUGCAGAAUUUUUUCAGAUGGAAAGCCAGAAAUUUUUAGCAGAAAACAGUGCUUCAGUAUAUAUAAAGAAAGUAGAAGCUAGGAUUAAUGAGGAAAUAGAGC
rnacentral:lncRNA from 1 species